AGCGAACGCUGGCGGCAGGCCUAACACAUGCAAGUCGAACGAACCUUUCGGGGUUAGUGGCGGACGGGUGAGUAACACGUGGGAACGUGCCUUUAGGUUCGGAAUAACUCAGGGAAACUUGUACUAAUACCGAAUGUGCCCUUCGGGGGAAAGAUUUAUCGCCUUUAGAGCGGCCCGCGUCUGAUUAGCUAGUUGGUUGAGGUAAUGGCUCACCAAGGCGACGAUCAGUAGCUGGUCUGAGAGGAUGAUCAGCCACAUUGGGACUGAGACACGGCCCAAACUCCUACGGGAGGCAGCAGUGGGGAAUCUUGCGCAAUGGGCGAAAGCCUGACGCAGCCAUGCCGCGUGAAUGAUGAAGGUCUUAGGAUUGUAAAAUUCUUUCACCGGGGACGAUAAUGACGGUACCCGGAGAAGAAGCCCCGGCUAACUUCGUG
rnacentral:rRNA from 1 species